rnacentral:rRNA from 1 species
AUUGAACGCUGGCGGCAGGCUUAACACAUGCAAGUCGAGCGGAGUGAUGGUGCUUGCACUAUCACUUAGCGGCGGACGGGUGAGUAAUGCUUAGGAAUCUGCCUAUUAGUGGGGGACAACAUCUCGAAAGGGAUGCUAAUACCGCAUACGUCCUACGGGAGAAAGCAGGGGAUCACUUGUGACCUUGCGCUAAUAGAUGAGCCUAAGUCGGAUUAGCUAGUUGGUGGGGUAAAGGCCUACCAAGGCGACGAUCUGUAGCGGGUCUGAGAGGAUGAUCCGCCACACUGGGACUGAGACACGGCCCAGACGCCUACGGGAGGCAGCAGUGGGGAAUAUUGGACAAUGGGGGGAACCCUGAUCCAGCCAUGCCGCGUGUGUGAAGAAGGCCUUAUGGUUGUAAAGCACUUUAAGCGAGGAGGAGGCUCUUUUGGUUAAUACCCAAGAUGAGUGGACGUUACUCGCAGAAUAAGCACCGGCUAACUCUGUGCCAGCAGCCGCGGUAACAC